AAAAACAGGGUGUUAAUCAACACACUAAAUUUUAUUGGUGAAUGUCAGUGUGUGUUAAUGAGCACCCCAGUGUUCACUAACACACGAAGUAGGUUAACAGAACACACCAACUAAGUAGUGUGUAACGUAACACACACACACACUUCACUCAAGUGGUGUAAAGGAACACACUGAUACCCUAGGCCCAACUGUAAUUCAUACACACUACGCUUUUUACACCACUGUACAGGCAAAACAGCCCAGAGAUUAUGUCACAAUUAUAAAACUUAUAAUCGAUAACAACAAAUAUCCACGCAACAAACUUUUAUGGAUGACCAUUAAACAAAAACAUAUUAAAGGUUUCAAGUUACUAUAGCAGUUAAUCUUGUGAGUAAACCACAGCCAGCUGCACCUGCACAGAGAAUUAUAUGAGUAUGAGCACAGUGGUGUAAUAAUACUACAUUUCAAUGCUGCUAUAACAAAUGGGAGCCAGCUAAGAGAAAAUCAGUUCAUAUAAUAUUAUAAUUUAUAUAGCUUGGUCCAGUUUAUAAAAUUGACAAUGGGGACUUGAAAGAAUUUGCAUACUGUAGAUCAACUUCUUAACUUAUCUUUAGUAUAUAUCCUGCUGUUCUCUUGGCUCUCAGAGCAGCCUGGAAAGACUACUGCUGCAUUCUCUGUCUCAUCUUGUGCCAUGUGGCCACUGGCUCUGGAUCACAUGAUCAGUUUUCCUGCUAUCUAAUUAUAGAACAUAAUUAUAGACUAAUUAUAGAAUGCGCAUGCGCAGCAGUGCAGUUGCCGUAGCAAUCUUCAAAGCAGCUGCUUUUCUAUUAUUUCUUGUCCACGUACCAAGUCUAGUCCUGAUCCUUUGAGAAGUCUUUAGACCUGUACUGUUCUAUGCAUUCAGAGCUCAAGGGGAAGAGAAGUUUUCAAGUCAUAAACUAAAAAAACAAACUUCAAAACGUUGGGCAUUAAGUUGAAGGUCAAUUUCCAGCCACUCUAAAGCUGUUGUGAUGCUACAAUUUAGAGCUCUAAAGGAGAGCAGAAGUAUCAAGUCAUCAGCACAAAAGAAAAAAGGUCCGUCAUAAAGUUGGUCAAUCACUCUGAAGCUGAUUGUAACGCUGCUGUUUAGGUGAGAAAUUGAUUGAUUUUGUU